rnacentral:lncRNA from 1 species
CAUACGGUUCAUGCCAGCAUGACCCAAGCGUGCGUCUCCAGGUGCCUCCUCGUCGCUGCUCGAACCGGCGUCGAUUUCAGAAUCACUGCUUUGCAAAGGAUCGAAGCGAAAAUGAUUCGCGACGUCGCGAAU